UUUCCGGUAGGUGAAGCUAUCGCAGGGAUACGGAUUACUGCCGCAAAGUGGUGGAGACACUACAAGCAGGUCAGCAGGCCACAUCGAAAAACAAGGUGUGAUCUAAUGUAAUUUCAUCGCCCCGCGAUGCCGAAGCUUGGACGGUAA
rnacentral:sRNA from 1 species